GACGAACGCUGGCGGCGUGCUUAACACAUGCAAGUCGAACGGAAAGGCCCUGCUUUUGUGGGGUGCUCGAGUGGCGAACGGGUGAGUAACACGUGAGUAACCUGCCCUUGACUUUGGGAUAACUUCAGGAAACUGGGGCUAAUACCGGAUAGGAGCUCCUGCUGCAUGGUGGGGGUUGGAAAGUUUCGGCGGUUGGGGAUGGACUCGCGGCUUAUCAGCUUGUUGGUGGGGUAGUGGCUUACCAAGGCUUUGACGGGUAGCCGGCCUGAGAGGGUGACCGGCGACAUUGGGACUGAGAUACGGCCCAGAGUCCGACGGGAGGCAGCAGGGGGGAGUAUGGCAGAAGGGGCGGAAGCCUGAUGCAGCAACGCCGCGUGCGGGAUGACGGCCUGCGGGUUGUAAACCGCUUUCGCCUGUGACGAAGCGUGAGGGACGGUAAUGGGUAAAGAAGCACCGGCUAACUACGUG
rnacentral:rRNA from 1 species